AGAGUUUGAUCCUGGCUCAGAUUGAACGCUGGCGGCAGGCCUAACACAUGCAAGUCGAACGGUAACAGGAAGAAGCUUGCUUCUUUGCUGACGAGUGGCGGACGGGUGAGUAAUGUCUGGGAAACUGCCUGAUGGAGGGGGAUAACUACUGGAAACGGUAGCUAAUACCGCAUAACGUCGCAAGACCAAAGAGGGGGACCUUCGGGCCUCUUGCCAUCGGAUGUGCCCAGAUGGGAUUAGCUAGUAGGUGGGGUAACGGCUCACCUAGGCGACGAUCCCUAGCUGGUCUGAGAGGAUGACCAGCCACACUGGAACUGAGACACGGUCCAGACUCCUACGGGAGGCAGCAGUGGGGAAUAUUGCACAAUGGGCGCAAGCCUGAUGCAGCCAUGCCGCGUGUAUGAAGAAGGCCUUCGGGUUGUAAAGUACUUUCAGCGGGGAGGAAGGGAGUAAAGUUAAUACCUUUGCUCAUUGACGUUACCCGCAGAAGAAGCACCGGCUAACUCCGUGCCAGCAGCCGCGGUAAUACGGAGGGUGCAAGCGUUAAUCGGAAUUACUGGGCGUAAAGCGCACGCAGGCGGUUUGUUAAGUCAGAUGUGAAAUCCCCGGGCUCAACCUGGGAACUGCAUCUGAUACUGGCAAGCUUGAGUCUCGUAGAGGGGGGUAGAAUUCCAGGUGUAGCGGUGAAAUGCGUAGAGAUCUGGAGGAAUACCGGUGGCGAAGGCGGCCCCCUGGACGAAGACUGACGCUCAGGUGCGAAAGCGUGGGGAGCAAACAAAAUUAGAUACCCUGGUAGUCCACGCCGUAAACGAUGUCGACUUGGAGGUUGUGCCCUUGAGGCGUGGCUUCCGGAGCUAACGCGUUAAGUCGACCGCCUGGGGAGUACGGCCGCAAGGUUAAAACUCAAAUGAAUUGACGGGGGCCCGCACAAGCGGUGGAGCAUGUGGUUUAAUUCGAUGCAACGCGAAGAACCUUACCUGGUCUUGACAUCCACGGAAUUUUUCAGAGAUGAGAAUGUGCCUUCGGGAACCGUGAGACAGGUGCUGCAUGGCUGUCGUCAGCUCGUGUUGUGAAAUGUUGGGUUAAGUCCCGCAACGAGCGCAACCCUUAUCCUUUGUUGCCAGCGGUCCGGCCGGGAACUCAAAGGAGACUGCCAGUGAUAAACUGGAGGAAGGUGGGGACGACGUCAAGUCAUCAUGGCCCUUACGACCAGGGCUACACACGUGCUACAAUGGCGCAUACAAAGAGAAGCGACCUCGCGAGAGCAAGCGGACCUCAUAAAGUGCAUCGUAGUCCGGAUUGGAGUCUGCAACUCGACUCCAUGAAGUCGGAAUCGCUAGUAAUCGUGGAUCAGAAUGCCACGGUGAAUACGUUCCCGGGCCUUGCACUCACCGCCCGUCA
rnacentral:rRNA from 1 species